GACGAACGCUGGCGGCGUGCUUAACACAUGCAAGUCGAACGGAAAGGCCCUGCUUUUGUGGGGUGCUCGAGUGGCGAACCGGUGAGUAACACGUGAGUAACCUGCCCUUGACUUUGGGAUAACUUCAGGAAACUGGGGCUAAUACCGGAUAGGAGCUCCUGCUGCAUGGUGGGGGUUGGAAAGUUUCGGCGGUUGGGGAUGGACUCGCGGCUUAUCAGCUUGUUGGUGGGGUAGUGGCUUACCAAGGCUUUGACGGGUAGCCGGCCUGAGAGGGUGACCGGCCACAUUGGGACUGAGAUACGGCCCAGACUCCUACGGGAGGCAGCAGUGGGGAAUAUUGCACAAUGGGCGGAAGCCUGAUGCAGCAACGCCGCGUGCGGGAUGACGGCCUUCGGGUUGUAAACCGCUUUCGCCUGUGACGAAGCGUGAGUGACGGUAAUGGGUAAAGAAGCACCGGCUAACUACAUG
rnacentral:rRNA from 1 species